AUUUGACAUCGUGUAAACCAACAGUUUACAAAUCCUGUUCCCUUAAAUCCCACUGUAGCUCAUGCCUCUGGGACACCUACCACAUUUGUUGAGGAAGAAUGUAUUCUGCAGCACUGCUCAAAAUGGUGAUUAGGAGGACUGGUAGGUAUGGUGAGAAGGACUGGUGGGUAUGGUGAGGAGGACUGGUAGGUAUGGUGAGAAAGACUGGUAGGUAUGGUGAGGAGGACUGGUGGGUAUGGUGAGGAGGACUGGUGGGUAUGGUGAGGAGGACUGGUGGGUAUGGUGAGGAGGACUGGUGGGUAUGGUGAGGAGGACUGGUGGGUAUGGUGAGGAGGACUGGUGGGUAUGGUGAGGAGGACUGGUGGGUAUGGUGAGGAGGACUGGUGGGUAUGGUGAGGAGGACUGGUGGGUAUGGUGAGGAGGACUGGUGGGUAUGGUGAGCAGGACUGGUGGGUAUGGUGAGAAAGACUGGUAGGUAUGGUGAGGAGGACUGGUGGGUAUGGUAAGGAGGACUGGUGGGUAUGGUGAGGAGGACUGGUGGGUAUGGUGAGGACUGGUGGGUAUGGUGAGGAGGACUGGUGGGUAUGGUGAGGGGGACUGGUGGGUAUGGUGAGGGGGACUGGUGGGUAUGAGGAGGGGGACUGGUGGGUAUGGUGAGGAGGACUGGUGGGUAUGGUGAGGAGGACUGGUGGGUAUGGUGAGGAGGACUGGUGGGUAUGGUGAGGAGGACUGGUGGGUAUGGUGAGGAGGACUGGUGGGUAUGGUAAGGAGGACUGGUAGGUAUGAUGUCAGAUAGUAGUUAAGUGGAGAAGCAAGUUGUAGAUGACGACACAGUGGGAUGGCACCUUCAGAUUUUCUGAAGCAAAACCUUGCUACACGCUCUUUGCGGAUACAAACACACAGCAUCAAGUAUAAAUCGUUAAGUAGGAAGAAGUGCACACUAAGCUGGCUCUGGAGAAGGAAGAAUGGGCCAGAGAAU
rnacentral:lncRNA from 1 species